UACGGAGGGUGCAAGCGUUAUCCGGAUUCACUGGGUUUAAAGGGUGCGUAGGUGGGUUGGUAAGUCCGUGGUGAAAUCUCCGAGCUUAACUUGGAAACUGCCAUGGAUACUAUAGAUCUUGAAUACUGUGGAGGUUAGCGGAAUAUGUCAUGUAGCGGUGAAAUGCUUAGAUAUGACAUAGAACACCAAUUGCGAAGGCAGCUGGCUACACAAAUAUUGACACUGAUGCACGAAAAGCGUGGGGAUCAAACAGG
rnacentral:rRNA from 1 species